rnacentral:rRNA from 1 species
GGACUACCGGGGUAUCUAAUCCCGUUCGCUCCCCUGGCUUUCGCGCCUCAGCGUCAGAAGGGGUCCAGCAGCCCGCUUUCGCCACCGGCGUUCCUCCCGAUAUCUACGCAUUUCACCGCUCCACCGAGAGUUCCAGCUGCCCCUACCCCGCUCAAGACAGCCAGUCUCAGGGGCACUUCCCCGGUUGGGCCGGGGGCUUUCACCCCUGACUUGGCUGCCCGCCUACGCGCCCUUUAAGCCCAGUGAAUCCGAAUAACGUUCGCACGGUUCGUCUUACCGCGGCUGCUGGCAC